GGGCACCAUUACAGAGAGGAGCCAAUUUCAGAUUUAGAAAUUUGUUCACACUUCGUUUGGUGGUAAAAGGUGAAUUGCGCUAUGGAUUCCGUUACCACGGACCAUAAGGCGAUUCUAUGACCGAAUGCCUUUAUAGGCGUUCCGUUAUUCGUUCCGUCAU